CCAAUAGCGUCUAUUAAAGUUGUUGCAGUUAAAAAGCUCGUAGUUGAAUUUCGGGAUCAAAGAAUCGGUCAUGCCUUGGUAUGUACUGGUUUUAUUGGUUCUCACCUUCUAAAGAACCAUAAUGUCAUUCAUUUGAUGUUAUGGGGAAUUAGGACUGUUACCUUGAAAAAAUUAGAGUGUUUAAAGCAGGCUUACGCUUGAAUACAUUAGCAUGGAAUAAUGAAAUAGGACAUCAGAUUCUAUUUUGUUGGUUUCUAGGAUCGAUGUAAUGAUUAAUAGGGAUAGUUGGGGGCAUUAGUAUUCAAUUGUCAGAGGUGAAAUUCUUGGAUUUAUUGAAGACUAACUACUGCGAAAGCAUUUGCCAAGGAUGUUUUCAUUAAUCAAGAACGAAAGUUAGGGGAUCGAAGACGAUCAGAUACCGUCGUAGUCUUAACCAUAAACUAUGCCGACUAGGGAUCGGAUGAUGUUAAUUUUAUAAUGACUCAUUCGGCACCUUACG
rnacentral:rRNA from 1 species